AAAAAUAGACAUAAAUUAGGUUCUUCAUUAAAGAUUAAUAGGGAAAAAGGUUAGAAUCCUUUGCAGCCCCCGCUACUGUAAUGCUGACGAAACUAUUAGACACCACUGUGAUUUUACGGGAAGGAAUAGGACUAGGAUGAAGCUGAGUCAGGAGACCUGCCUAGUUUAUGGAAAUAAA
rfam:Clostridium sp. JC272 contig223, whole genome shotgun sequence.